rnacentral:ncRNA from 1 species
AGAACUGAUAACCUGAUAGGUGGAAUGAUGGGGUAACGCCCUGAAACGCCUCCUUAAUACUUCGCUAUGCACAAGCGACGCAAUUAAGCAAGUGUGUAAAGCUCGAAGAAGUCGGCAGAGAGCAACCCAAACAGAUAAUGCUGUGGAAAGCUGUUCAGAGGUGAAUGGUGUUGCCUAUAUGUCGGAGGUCUAUAAA